GUGCCCACCUCUGAAGCAUGCAUACUAAAAUUGGAACAAUACAGAGAUUAGCAAGGCCCCUGUGCAAGGAUGGCAUGCAAAUUCAUGAAGCAUUUUAUAUUUUG
rnacentral:snRNA from 1 species